rnacentral:rRNA from 1 species
UACGUAGGGUCCAAGCGUUGUCCGGAUUUAUUGGGCGUAAAGAGCUCGUAGGCGGCUCAGUUAGUCGGAUGUGAAAACUCGGGGCUCAACCCCGAGACGCCAUUCGAUACUGCUGUGGCUUGAGUCUGGUAGGGGAACACGGAAUUCCUGGUGUAGCGGUGGAAUGCGCAGAUAUCGGGAAGAACACCCGUGGCGAAGGCGGUUCUCUGGGACGGUACUGACGCUGAGACGCGAAAGCGUGGGGAGCGAACAGG